AACGCUAGCGCCAUCUGUCGGCGCUCGACGGAGUCAAUGAUUCACCAGCCGGUCAGUGCGGUCGAAUAUUGAUAUCGACUCGCGUUCCUAGUUAUAGUGCCGAGUGAUUGAACAUUAAAACGAGUUCAUUAAUCUAAUGUGUUUCGUUGCUCCAACAUUACCCAUCGACGCCAACAACUUAGAAGUUAGAAACUAUGGACCAUACUGAUGAUGCUGAGGUUCAUCCUCCGUCAUCAGAAGUGGGAUCUCUGUUGUGCAAGAUGAAGAAAAAAACGAAGCGGGUAUUUGGCGUGCGUUGUUUGAACAACAAAACCAGAACAUGCGAGCACUGAUCGAAGCCCUGCAAGCGCCAAAACCAGUCUACCGAGACGGUCUACCUACGUUCGACCCUGACAAUCAAGAUACCGAUGCGAGAUCGUGGUGUACAACAGCCUAUUUGUGUUUUUCUCAAAAUCCACCACGUGGCGGUCAACUUAUACUAGCCGUCAGCAAGGCGCUUAAGGGUGAAGCAUCGACGUGGCUGUCUCAAAUAGCAUACGAAGGAAUCACAUGGCCUGAAUUUAAGGAACUUUUCACCUCGAGGUUUAUUUCGACGGAAACAUUGCCCAUUACCCUCAUAAAUUAAAUGAAGAAAAACCGAGCGAAAAAGAAUCACUACCCGCAUAUGCAAGUCGAUUAAUAGCCUCUUUGACAAAACGCUGGAAGGAUGUGAAUAAAGAAGAGAUCGCCGUAGCUACUGUACUCGCUCACUUAUUGCAGUUUGACCCGCAUAUUCAACGUUUGGCGUUUACUGCGAAUAUCAAUUCACGAGAAAAACAAAAAAAAAAAAACUAAACGCAUUCUUGCAAUUGAAACGUAAGAUGAAUACCACUGGAGAGUCGUCGAAUGUACCCGAUUUCAAACGUGAAAAGUUAACUGCUAUCAAGUUCUUCAAUUGCGGAAAGAUGGGGUUUAAGCGAGCGGAUUGUCGAAGCAAGACGAACGACGUGAGAGGACGAGCUACAAUGCCGAACCCAGGGGCGCAGCAGCCAACACCAAGGCCUUUGGUGUGCUACAAAUGCGGGAAACCAGGCCACAUUGCCGUCCGGUGUACCAGUGGCGGCGGCAGCUCUUAUAAACAUCAACAACGGUCUGCCAAAGGAAGCCGAAUGUAUGGGCUGCAUAUGCAAGUCGAUUGAUGACGUCACUAAUAGCGAAAUGGAAAAAUCUGACUGCUGAGGAAAUCGCUACAUCAAGCAAGUUGCUGCAAGAAAUGAGAUCGGAACCUCAUGUGUUAUGAUACGCUCACCUUCCUGAAAUAGUACCGUUGGCUAUACAAGUUAAAGCAGUUACGAUUUAUUUUACUACCCUACGAAAGUAUCAUUAUUUAGUGAGUGCAGAAAAUUUGUGAAAAUUUGUAUGAAAAAGAUCUGGUGAGUACUUUCCAAUUUGUUUAAAAGCGAUAGACACUGUGUCUUACUAAGUUUCUUAGUAACUUUACAAUUUAGCUCGUAUCACCUACAUUGCGAUGAUUUCUUUAUUUAGAUACCCUGUUUUUGGGUUAUUGAUUAACAGUGAUCUUACGCAAUAAUAGCUAGCUAUGUGUAUUACUUUAUAAGUUUCUUAGUAACUACAAUUUAGCUUUUACCUACAUUAUGAAAUUUCUUUAUUUACCUACCCUGCUAUGGAUUAUUAAUUACAGGGAUCUUGCACAAUGAUAGCUAAGAAACUUGCCUAAUACCGGUCGCAUGACCGUGACUCACAUUCCAGAAAUCGAUUAACGUCGUUGGAAGAAUAAGCCGUUCACCUCCACGUGGCUCGCUGCCACGACCGCUGGUAGUGAUAGUGACUAUGGUGGAGCAUCGGGACUCUACGGCAUUGUCUUCGCCAAGGCGUUUCGUGAGUGCCACUACGAACCACGGUGCUGGUGCGACCGAUCGUAUCAUUAAUGCGAUACAACCUAUCAAUACUACGGUGAGAUCCAACCAAUUUUCCAAUUCCAAUUUCGAUCCUGGCAUUAAUAUUUGAUGCAAGGAGAUAGGUUGACUCGUUUUGACAUAACAAAGGCGAAAAUCAAAAAAAUUUCGGUUGGUGAAUUUGUGUUAUUAAAAAACGAAGAGCGUAAUCAAACGAAAUUAGAUCCAAAAUUUAAAGGGCCGUUUAAAGUAGUAGAGUACAUGAUAGGCUAAGAGAAAUGCCAGCAGGUCACGUAUCAGUCGAGGUUGAUGCAGAUGACGUUAAUGAUGAAGAUCAAAUUUAAGUUGUGGUAGAAACUCGAGUAAGGGGCCUCUAGGGGCCAUAGUGAGUUGAGUUGUGUUCGACCGUACCAGUAGCUAUUACGUAGUCGUAGCCCGGUAGAAAUCGGUAUCUCUUAAGGCAACUUAAGUAGUCCGUAGGUGCGCGAUGCGCGUUUAGCUCAGGAGGUCGGGGUCUGUAGAGACCAUACGUGGUCACCAGGGGGAGACACACGGGCGAUCCAAGGGAUCUGAUCCAUGCGCUGGAUGUGAGCAAUGCGAUUGCUGGUCGGCUGGACAGCCGGGGCGCUAGAUGUCUUACUCGGGAGUUUCUAGUCUGGAUAUUGUGAAAGUUGUAAAGAGUCGUUUUGUAAUUUGGUUGGAACGACUAUGAUAUGUGGCUCUGGCUGUUAGUAUAAUAAAUUUUGUAUCGCCUAUCUGUCUUGUAUUUUAAUUUUGCUAAAAAUUAAAAAACACAGUUAUACAUUUUGCUGUCUUUGUACUUUACCCCUAAAAAGGUAGUGUGGUCAGGAGUGACCGAGUGGAACAAGAUAUUCUCGUGGAUAUUUUAUUGCAGAUUAACCGUCACACUGGGACGUGAGCAAGUAGGAUGGCCGUGUCGCAAUCGUAUCAUCUCUGGAACGCUAGCGCCAUCGGUCGGCGCUCGACGGAGUCAAUGAUUCACCGGCUGAGCGGCGCAUACGACACUUCUUGUGCAGCAGCCGACCGGCAGCCAGCCUGAAGAAAAUCCAACAAUGUCAAACAUGAAUUUUCCUACAAUUCGUAUUGUAAACGAUUUGCAACAUAUACAUUCAUUUGGUCAAGCGGCAUUAACGGCAAAUGAACCGAAAAUCAUUUGGAUGCCAAUCGAGUUGCCAGAAGUCAAGAAACAAACGUUGGACCAAAUGACACAAACGUCUGGACCGGAUAGAGAUAUAUUUGUUCAAGCAUGUGCCAUUCCCCUAUCCCAACGUUUCGCUCUAUUGGAAAACAAGAAAGUUGACUCUAAACCCAGUUUGACUCUAAAUACUGAAAAUGGUAUGAGAUUUCAAUCGCAAAAGAGAAACUGGUGGAGUUCCAAAGUACUUAAUUCAAAUAAAUGCAAACAAACCGAAAAGACAUCAGAUUCAACGAUGAAAAGAAAAUCCAAUGAUAAUGAACCUGUGUUGAGAAAGCCAAUACUGAAAAGAAGAAGAACAUCCUCGGACACAAAUUGUAAAAAAUAACUUUCAUUUUCAAAGUAUCCUAAUUCUUCAUUCGACUCAAUUGAAAAUACAAAACUAGAUGCUGAAAAUAAGGUCGAAAAUGCAAUAACAAAACGUACUUGUUUAGUAGAUGGUUCUAAUCAAGAAAUAAACAAGAGGGAUUCAGGAGAUUCGUUACAAAUUUAAACCUAUGUCUGUCUGUAUGUGUUGUGGCAUAGCCCCUAAUAAGUCUACCAAUUUUCUGCUUUUUAAUUUGAAAAUUAUUUUUUAUUUUCAGGAUUAAAGACUUUCCUAUUUAUAAAUCUAUACUAACAAACGAUGUUAAAUUAGAAUGCUAGGGGACAGGUUGAAGGGGUUUUCACUUCGAAGCUGAGCUGAAAUUAAGUGGGAAUGCACGGCCAUCUACUAUAUAUAUUAUAUUGUUAUCUAUAAAAAUGAAUUUGUUUUUUUUUUUUAAUGUAUUCUUCAUUUAAGUGAUUGGAAUUGAAUUGUUUCCAAAUAUUAUAUUUGUUGUUAGAUGUAUAUUUUUGUUUCGUAGA